rnacentral:rRNA from 1 species
UACAGAGGGGGCAAGCGUUAUUCGGAAUUAUUGGGCGUAAAGGGCGCGUAGGCGGCCUGACAAGUGGAAGGUGAAAUCCCUCGGCUUAACCGAGGAACUGCCCUCCAAACUGUUUGGCUUGAGACCGGGAGAGGUGAGUGGAAUUCCCAGUGUAGCGGUGAAAUGCGUAGAUACUGGGAGGAACACCGGUGGCGAAGGCGGCUACCUGGACCGGUUCUGACGCUGAGGCGCGAAAGCGUGGGUAGCAAACAGG